rnacentral:rRNA from 1 species
AGAGUUUGAUCAUGGCUCAGGACGAACGCUGGCGGCGUGCUUAACACAUGCAGGUCGAACGGUAAGGCCCUUCGGGGUACACGAGAGGCGAACGGGUGAGUAACACGUGGGUAAUCUGCCCUGCACAUCGGGAUAAGCCUGGGAAACUGGGUCUAAUACCGAAUAGGACCACAGGACACAUGUCCUGUGGUGGAAAGCUUUUGCGGUGUGGGAUGGGCCCGCGGCCUAUCAGCUUGUUGGUGAGGUGAUGGCCUACCAAGGCGACGACGGGUAGCCGGCCUGAGAGAGUGUCCGGCCACACUGGGACUGAGAUACGGCCCAGACUCCUACGGGAGGCAGCAGUGGGGAAUAUUGCACAAUGGGCGAAAGCCUGAUGCAGCGACGCCGCGUGGGGGAUGUCGGCCUUCGGGUUGUAAACCUCUUUCACCAUCGACGAAGGUCCGGGUUUUCUCGGGCUGACGGUAGGUGGAGAAGAAGCACCGGCCAACUACGUGCCAGCAGCCGCGGUAAUACGUAGGGUGCGAGCGUUGUCCGGAAUUACUGGGCGUAAAGAGCUCGUAGGUGGUUUGUCGCGUUGUUCGUGAAAUCUCACGGCUUAACUGUGAGCGUGCGGGCGAUACGGGCAGACUUGAGUACUGCAGGGGAGACUGGAAUUCCUGGUGUAGCGGUGGAAUGCGCAGAUAUCAGGAGGAACACCGGUGGCGAAGGCGGGUCUCUGGGCAGUAACUGACGCUGAGGAGCGAAAGCGUGGGGAGCGAACAGGAUUAGAUACCCUGGUAGUCC